GUUGUUUUAUCUAAUAUAGAACGAGCGCCUCCUAAGCGCUAGAUACAGGUUCGAUUCCUGUC
rnacentral:tRNA from 1 species